rnacentral:rRNA from 1 species
GUGGGGAAUAUUGGGCAAUGGGCGAAAGCCUGACCCAGCAACGCCGCGUGAGGGAAGAAGGCCUUCGGGUUGUAAACCUCUGUCCUUGGUGACGAAAAAAAUGACGGUAGCCAAGGAGGAAGCCCCGGCUAACUACGUGCCAGCAGCCGCGGUAAUACGUAGGGGGCGAGCGUUGUCCGGAAUUACUGGGCGUAAAGGGUGCGUAGGUGGCCUUUUAAGUUGGAUGUGAAAUACCCGGGCUUAACUUGGGGGGUGCAUCUAAUACUGGAGGGCUAGAGUGCAGGAGAGGGAAGCGGAAUUCCUAGUGUAGCGGUGAAAUGCGUAGAUAUUAGGAGGAACACCAGUGGCGAAGGCGGCUUUCUGGACUGUAACUGACACUGAGGCACGAAAGCGUGGGGAGCAAACAGGAUUAGAUACCCCAGUAGUCC